UACGAGGGGGGCAAGCGUUGUUCGGAAUUAUUGGGCGUAAAGGGCGCGUAGGCGGUGCGGUAAGUCACCUGUGAAAACUCUGGGCUCAACUCAGAGCCUGCAGGCGAAACUGCCGUGCUUGAGUGUGGGAGAGGUGCGUGGAAUUCCCGGUGUAGCGGUGAAAUGCGUAGAGAUCGGGAGGAACACCAGUGGCGAAGGCGGCUACCUGGACCAGCACUGACACUGAGGCACGAAAGCGUGGGGAGCAAACAGG
rnacentral:rRNA from 1 species